rnacentral:antisense_RNA from 2 species
CUCUACGGCGGGCCUUGGCGGGGAUACCUUCGGGUAUGCCGGUUGUGUUAACGUGUCCGGUCCGUCAACCCUGUCUCGUGCCCGCCACCCUC